rnacentral:rRNA from 1 species
GACGAACGCUGGCGGCGUGCCUAAUACAUGCAAGUCGAGCGAAGUUUUUCUGGUGCUUGCACCGGAAAAACUUAGCGGCGAACGGGUGAGUAACACGUAAAGAACCUGCCUCAUAGACUGGGACAACUAUUGGAAACGAUAGCUAAUACCGGAUAACAGCAUUAACUGCAUGGUUGAUGUUUAAAAGUUGGUUUUGCUAACACUAUGAGAUGGCUUUGCGGUGCAUUAGCUCGUUGGUGGGGUAAAGGCCUACCAAGGCGACGAUGCAUAGCCGACCUGAGAGGGUGAUCGGCCACACUGGGACUGAGACACGGCCCAGACUCCUACGGGAGGCAGCAGUAGGGAAUCUUCCGCAAUGGGCGAAAGCCUGACGGAGCAACGCCGCGUGAGUGAAGAAGGAUUUCGGUUCGUAAAGCUCUGUUGUUAGGGAGGAAUGAUUGUGUAGUAACUAUACACAGUAGAGACGGUACCUAACCAGAAAGCCACGGCUAACUACGUG